rnacentral:rRNA from 1 species
GGAGCUCUCCCNUAUGGUCGACCUGCAGGCGGCCGCGAAUUCACUAGUGAUUAGAGUUUGAUCCUGGCUCAGGACGAACGCUGGCGGCGUGCCUAACACAUGCAAGUCGAACGGAGAAUUUUAUUUCGGUAGAAUUCUUAGUGGCGAACGGGUGAGUAACGCGUGGGCAACCUACCCUUUAGACGGGGACAACAUUCCGAAAGGAGUGCUAAUACCGGAUGUGAUCAUUGUGCCGCAUGGCAGGAUGAAGAAAGAUGGCCUCUACAAGUAAGCUAUCGCUAAAGGAUGGGCCUGCGUCUGAUUAGCUAGUUGGUAGUGUAACGGACUACCAAGGCGAUGAUCAGUAGCCGGUCUGAGAGGAUGAACGGCCACAUUGGGACUGAGACACGGCCCAAACUCCUACGGGAGGCAGCAGUGGGGAAUCUUCCGCAAUGGACGAAAGUCUGACGGAGCAACGCCGCGUGAGUGAUGAAGGAUUUCGGUCUGUAAAGCUCUGUUGUUUAUGACGAACGUGCAGUGUGUGAACAAUGCAUUGCAAUGACGGUAGUAAACGAGGAAGCCACGGCUAACUACGUGCCAGCAGCCGCGGUAAUACGUAGGUGGCGAGCGUUGUCCGGAAUUAUUGGGCGUAAAGAGCAUGUAGGCGGCUUAAUAAGUCGAGCGUGAAAAUGCGGGGCUCAACCCCGUAUGGCGCUGGAAACUGUUAGGCUUGAGUGCAGGAGAGGAAAGGGGAAUUCCCAGUGUAGCGGUGAAAUGCGUAGAUAUUGGGAGGAACACCAGUGGCGAANGCGCCUUUCUGGACUGUGUCUGACGCUGAGAUGCGAAAGCCAGGGUAGCGAACGGGAUUAGAUACCCCGGUAGUCCUGGCCGUAAACGAUGGGUACUANGUGUAGGANGUAUCGACCCCUUCUGUGCCNGAGUUAACGCAAUAAGUACCCNGCCNGGGGNGUACGGGCCGCNNGUUGAAACUCAAANGAANUGACGGGGGC